rnacentral:rRNA from 1 species
UACGUAGGGUGCAAGCGUUAAUCGGAAUACUGGGCGUAAAGCGUGCGCAGGCGGUGAUGUAAGACAGGUGUGAAAUCCCCGGGCUUAACCUGGGAACUGCAUUUGUGACUGCAUCGCUGGAGUGCGGCAGAGGGGAUGGAAUUCCGCGUGUAGCAGUGAAAUGCGUAGAUAUGCGGAGGAACACCGAUGGCGAAGGCAAUCCCCUGGGCCUGCACUGACGCUCAUGCACGAAAGCGUAGGG